GUGAGGUAAUGGCUCACCAAGGCGACGACGGGUAGCCGGCCUGAGAGGGCGACCGGCCACACUGGGACUGAGACACGGCCCAGACUCCUACGGGAGGCAGCAGUGGGGAAUAUUGCACAAUGGGCGAAAGCCUGAUGCAGCGACGCCGCGUGAGGGAUGACGGCCUUCGGGUUGUAAACCUCUUUCAGCAGGGAAGAAGCGAAAGUGACGGUACCUGCAGAAGAAGCGCCGGCUAACUACGUGCCAGCAGCCGCGGUAAUACGUAGGGCGCAAGCGUUGUCCGGAAUUAUUGGGCGUAAAGAGCUCGUAGGCGGCUUGUCACGUCGGUUGUGAAAGCCCGGGGCUUAACCCCGGGUCUGCAGUCGAUACGGGCAGGCUAGAGUUCGGUAGGGGAGAUCGGAAUUCCUGGUGUAGCGGUGAAAUGCGCAGAUAUCAGGAGGAACACCGGUGGCGAAGGCGGAUCUCUGGGCCGAUACUGACGCUGAGGAGCGAAAGCGUGGGGAGCGAACAGGAUUAGAUACCCUGGUAGUCCACGCCGUAAACGGUGGGCACUAGGUGUGGGCAACAUUCCACGUUGUCCGGGCCGCAGCUAACGCAUUAAGUG
rnacentral:rRNA from 3 species